GCCUGUUUAACAAAAACAUUGUCUUUUGUAUUAAGUAGAAGGUAAUUUCUGCCCACUGCGAUUUAUUGUAAAGGGCUGCAGUAUUUUGACUGUAUAAAGGUAGCAUAAUCAUUAGUUUUUUAAUUGGGAGCUGGUAUGAACGGAGAAACAAGGAAAAGGUGUAUUAUUUGGAGAUAUUGAAUUUUAUUUUUUUGUGAAAAAUCAAAAUUUAGUGCUAAAGGACAAGAAGACCCUAUUAAGUUUAAUUGACAGCAGUAAAAAGCAUAAAGGAACAAGAAAGAUGUCGAAAGAAUUAGUGUAAUUUAUGGUUGUAGGGUUAAUUGGGGCGAUGGAUUUUAAACAGUAUCUUACUUUUAAUUUUUGUGUGACGGGCAUGAGGACCUAGGGGUUUUAGAUGAAUGAAUAAUUACUUUAGGGAUAACAGCGUUAUCAUUCUUAAGAGUUCUAAUCGACGGAGUGGUUUGCGACCUCGAUGUUGGAUUAUGAUUAGCGUUGGCGCAGUAGUCGGCGGGUUUUGGUCUGUUCGACCAGUAGAAUCAUACGUGAUCUGAGUUCAGACC
rnacentral:rRNA from 1 species